AUGAGGGCUCAUAAUGACACCUGGUUUGCGGAUUACUUGCUAAGAGUAGGCAAUGGCACCGAGGAAGUUGAUGAUCAAGGAAACAUACGACUCCCUGAAGAUAUUUGUGUGCCGUCUACAGGCGAGGGUGACGACCUAGAGAAGCUGAUUGACCAUGUGUUUCCGAGACUAGAUGACAACAUGUCCGAUCCGAAUUACAUGACUUCACGUGCAAUCCUCUCCACCACGAAUGACAACGUCGACAAGAUAAACAUACGCAUGGUAGAGCAUUUUCGGGGAGAAGAAGUAAUCUACCAUAGCUUUGACAGUGCAGAAGACGCCCCGUAUGGCUACUACGCUCCUGAGUUCCUAAAUGGAUUGACUCCCAACGGUCUGCUUCCGCAUGCACUCAAACUGAAGCUCAACUGCCCUGUCAUACUUCUGAGGAAUAUUGAUCCAGCUAAUGGUCUGUGUAACGGGACAAGGCUUGUGGUGCGAGGUUUCGAGAGGAACGCCAUCGACGCAGAAAUCAUGAUCGGAUAA
rnacentral:rRNA from 1 species